CUGAUUCAUUUGCAAAAUUACAAAAUAACCCAGUUUCCUACCAGAAAAUUAGGACUGUACAAGGUUUCCAAGUCCCAGUGUGACUUGUGUAUACAUUUUGCAUUCUAUCGUGCCUGAUGAGAUGUGUGUCAUCAUCAUCACUAUUUACUGUGCUAACUGCUAAAAUAUGCCACUGCUCUAUAUGGAAAGGAGUUUGGGGGUCUCAUCUUCUGAUAAGGCUCAGGUGUGGAUUUCUUUUAUAACAGAGCUUUUAAUGUUAAAAGUGAUUGCUUUCUAUUAAACUGUAAGACAUCAAGUUGUUUUAAAACAUCACAUCUAUGUAGUAACUUUGAAAUCUUUGAUUUGAAAUUGCAGCUGACGUGCUGAGUGAAGGAGCGAUAUUGAAAUGGUACAAAGAAGCACACGUGGCCAAAGGCAAAAGUGUUUUUCUUGACCAGAUGAAGAAAUUUGUUGAGUGGUUACAAAACGCAGAAGAAGAAUCUGAAUCGGAAGGGGAGGAAAAUUAGAUGACUGGAGAAGCACAAUACCUAAGUUACACAACACUUUUAUUGAGAAUGCUGAACCAUUCAAGAAGAGAAACUUGGCUUCCGUUUUCCCAAAGGAAAAAAAAAAAAAAUAGGAUAGGUUUCCCUUGUGCAGAGGGGGAAAGUGGUUUUUGUUUUUGUUUUGUUUUUAAAUGGAGCCCUGAGGCAUCAGCUAUUAUACUUGGGACUCUACCUCUCACUCACGAUAUGCUAACUUAAAGCCAUUCAACAAGGAGUCAAGUAGGAAUCUGAAAUUAAAUAUUCAACAGGCUCCUCUUUUUUAGCUGUAUUUUUCAGGUACUGUGUGGUGAACGCCCCACUGGUGUCUAUAACAGGGCCACUUUGGUAGUUGUGUUUCUGCUCGUGUAUGUGAUCUGACAAACCAGUUUUUUUAAAAUAAAUGGCUUUAUAAAAAUCUGGG